AGGAUAUUCAUGUUGUUAUGCGUGAUGCCUAUACUUCAAGUAUACUUACAUUGCAUCUAUUAUGGAAAAUAUCCUAAAUCCAUACCUAUUGCAGUUUAUAACCAAGAAACUGAUUGCGUUUAUGACCCAUGUAAACAUAUCGAAAAAUGUUCUUACUUUUCGUGUCAUUUUUUAUAUGUUUUGAACCAAAACAAUGUUAAAGUAAAUUAUUAUGGUUCUGAAGUUUUGGGUAAAAAUUCCAUGACAAAAGGAUCAACACUAGGACUUAUGAAAGUGCCUAAGAACUACACAAUUGCAAUAAUUAAUAGUAUAACACAAGGCUCGUCGAAUGAACGUGACGAACUAUUAAAAUCUAAUAUAAAUAUUGAAAUAGACAUGUCAAGUAACUAACAGUAGCUUAUACCUAAGGCUGUUCUAAACAAAAUAUAUCAUUGUCACUAAGAUAAAAUUAUAUAUAAUCAAAUUCAAAUAUGACUUUUUUUCAUAGGAUUUGAAUUUGGGAAGCAUCUCAAACAAAAUAUAUUAAAAGCCCAUAAACUACACCUGAUUGACAUUUACAGUCAGUACAAUCUGUCAACAAAAUACGCCGAAAUCCCACUUAAGAUAUACGAAUACAAAAAUUUAAACCUCACUGAAAACACAGCAUCCGAUAUAAUAUCAUGGUAAUUUAUAAUUAACAAUUAUAGUUAGCUAAACUUAAAUCAUCAAUAAAAAUUAUCGUAAAUCAAAAGUUUAAUAGUGUGUUUGAAUGUUUGAUAUAGGAAUAAGAAUAGUAACAUCUAACAGGAGUAUUUAAGUGGGAUGGUAAAUAUGCCAGGGGGCCUCAAGUACUUUCUGAGCGAUUAGAUUCUAUUUAUUUCUCAUAUAGAUUCUGAGCUGAGCGAUGAAUGUAUUGAUUUUACAGUGAUGAACGUGUGUUUUUUUUUUGCGUCUGUGUACACGGAAAGUAGGCAAAAUAAUGCUUCGAUUUUCAACUCCAAUAUCUUUUCUGGCGGGAAAGUGAAUCUAGUAGGUGCAUUCGGGAGGUCAACAUUUAAAUUCCUAGUAGCUUUUAUAAGCGCUGGGAAAACCCGAACAAAAAAGGAAAAACGGGAAUUUUUACGCAAAAUCAGUUUAUGACUAAAUCGAUUUUAGUUUUUGGCGUGACUCAAAAAAA